CUGCAGUUAAAGCUCGUAGUUGGAUCUGGGUUGUGCGUUCACGCGCCUUUACUUGUUUAUCAGCCUUGGUAAAUGCCCUGGCUGGUGUUCAAUUUGGUGUAGUGGGCGUGCUGCCUUUCAGCCGUGUCUGUGUAAACGGGUGCUGACUGGGUUGAUGAGCUUGUCUUGUUAACCUGUUGGCAUGCUUCUAGAUGCCCUUUACCGGGUGUCGGGAGCGGACGGCAUCUUUACUUUGAACAAAUUUGAGUGCUCAAAGCAGGCCUGUGGGCCUGAAAAUUCUUGCAUGGAAUAAUGGAAUAGGACUUCGGUUCUAUUUUGUUGGUUUUCGGAUCCGAAGUAAUGGUUAAGAGGGACAGACGGGGGCAUUUGUAUGGCGGUGUGAGAGGUGAAAUUCUGGGAUCGCCGCCAGACAAACUACAGCGAAAGCAUUUGCCAAGAAUGUUUUCAUUGAUCAGGAGCGAAAGUCAGAGUUUCGAAGACGAUCAGAUACCGUCGUAGUUCUGACCAUAAACGAUGCCAACUGACGAUCCGCGGCAGCCACUUAUAUUGGCUCCGCGGGCAGUCCCCGGGAAACCUUUAAGUCUUUGGGCUCCGGGGGAAGUAUGGUUGCAAAGCUGAAACUUAAAGGAAUGACGGAAGCACCAC
rnacentral:rRNA from 1 species